GGCUCUGUAGUGAAGUUCAUGGUGAGUUGCAAGCUCAUUGAUGUGCAUUGACUGUGCGCCGGAGUCU
rnacentral:tRNA from 1 species